CCCUUAGAUGUUCUGGGCCGCACGCGCGCUACACUGACUGCUCCAACAAGUUACCUGGGCUGACAAGCAUCCGGGAAAUCUUGCAAAGGCAGUCGUGAUGGGGAUAGAUUCUUGUAAUUUUUGAUCUUCAACGAGGAAUUCCUAGUAAACGCAAGUCAUCAGCUUGCAUUGAUUACGUCCCUGCCCUUUGCACACACCGCCCGUCGCAUCUACCGAUUGAAUGGAGAGGCAAAAUCUUCGGACCGUGACGCUUGGGAGUCAAAUCUCGGGCUGUCGUGGGAAGUGGAUUAAACCUUUCUAUUUAGAGGAAGGUAAAGUCGUAACA
rnacentral:rRNA from 1 species